UACGUAGCGUGCAAGCGUUAAUCGGAAUUACUGGGCGUAAAGCGUGCGCAGGCGGUUUUGUAAGUCUGAUGUGAAAUCCCCGGGCUCAACCUGGGAAUUGCAUUGGAGACUGCAAGGCUAGAAUCUGGCAGAGGGGGGUAGAAUUCCACGUGUAGCAGUGAAAUGCGUAGAGAUGUGGAGGAACACCGAUGGCGAAGGCAGCCCCCUGGUACAAGAUUGACGCUCAUGCACGAAAGCGUGGGGA
rnacentral:rRNA from 1 species